AUUGAACGCUGGCGGCGUGCCUAACACAUGCAAGUCGAGCGGUAACAGGUGUAGCAAUACAUGCUGACGAGCGGCGGACGGGUGAGUAACGCUUGGGAAUCUGCCUGUUAGUGGGGGACAACCCGGGGAAACUCGGGCUAAUACCGCAUACGCACUACGGUGGAAAGGCCGGGGACGCAAGGCCUGGCGCUAACAGAUGAGCCCAAGUCGGAUUAGCUAGUUGGUAGGUAACGCCACCAAGGCGACGAUCCGUAACUGGUCUGAGAGGACGACCAGUCACACCGGAACUGAGACACGGUCCGGACUCCUACGGGAGGCAGCAGUGGGGAAUAUUGGACAAUGGGCGAAAGCCUGAUCCAGCGACGCCGCGUGGGUGAAGAAGGCCUGCGGGUUGUAAAGCCCUUUCGGUGGGGAAGAAAAGCCUCGAGUUAAUACCUCGGGGUCUUGACGUAACCCAUAGAAGAAGCACCGGCUAACUCUGUGCCAGCCGCCGCGGUAAC
rnacentral:rRNA from 1 species